rnacentral:rRNA from 1 species
AUUGAACGCUGGCGGCAGGCCUAACACAUGCAAGUCGAACGAGUGGCGGACGGGUGAGUAAUGUCUGGGAAACUGCCUGAUGGAGGGGGAUAACUACUGGAAACGGUAGCUAAUACCGCAUACCAUCAGAUGUGCCCAGAUUGGAUUAGAUUGUUGGUGGGGUAACGGCUCACCAAGGCGACGAUCCCUCGCUGGUCUGAGAGGAGAACCACCCAAACUGGAACGUAGAAAAGUUCCUAGAUCCGACGGGAGGCAGCAGUGGGGAAUAUUGCACAAUGGGCGCAAGCAUGAUGCAGCCAUGCCGCGUGUAUGAAGAAGGCCUUCGGGUUGUAAAGUACUUUCAGCGGGGAGGCGUUACCCGCAGAAGAAGCACCGGCUAACUCCGUGCCAGCAGCCGCGGUAAUAC